CAGCAGCCACGGUAAUACGAAGGGGGCUAGCGUUGCUCGGAAUGACUGGGCGUAAAGGGCGCGUAGGCGGAUUGUACAGUCAGGCGUGAAAUUCCUGGGCUUAACCUGGGGGCUGCGUUUGAUACGUAUAGUCUAGAGUGGGGAAGAGGGUCGUGGAAUUCCCAGUGUAGAGGUGAAAUUCGUAGAUAUUGGGAAGAACACCGGUGGCGAAGGCGGCGACCUGGUCCUUUACUGACGCUGAGGCGCGAAAGCGUGGGGAGCAAACAGGAUUAGAGACCCGUGUAGUCCCUGUCUCUUAUAC
rnacentral:rRNA from 1 species